rnacentral:lncRNA from 1 species
GUUUCUCUUUGCUUCUUGCUGUACAGACUACCACCGGCUGGCUGGUUCGCUCUAUAAAAAAUACAUCAAGAACACACUGAAGAAAUGGUUCAGUGCUUACGAGCUUGCUGGUCCUCCAGAGAACCCAAGUUAUAGUAUCAGCACGGCAAUCAGUGGCUCACAAUUGCCUCUAACUCCAGCUCCAGAGGAUGGAUCUUCUGGCCUCUGAAGGAACCUUCCAGGUCAAAGUCAUGAAUAUUCACCUUGUCAAGAUUCCGGUUAAGAGAUUUUCAUGAAGCCAACAAGCAGUGUUCCUCAGAGCCUC